ensembl:lncRNA
CACAAAUGUUCAUAGCAGCUUUAUUCAUAAUAGCCAAAAAGUGAAACAGCCCAAAUGUCCAUUAACAGAUGAAUGGAUAAACAAAAUGUGGUAUACACAUACAAUGGAAACUUAUUCUGCUGUAAAAAGGAAUGAAGUCCUGCUACAUGCUACAACAUGGAUGGCCUUAAAACUUUACGCUACCUGAAAGAAGCCAGACACAUAAGCUGUAGGAUUCCACUUACAUGAAAUGUCCAGAAUAGGCAAAUCUCUUGAGACCGAAGCAGAUUAUUGUUUGCCAAGGGCCAGGGAAAGAGUCAAAGGGAAUAACUGCUAACAAGUACAGGAUUUCUUUUGGGGAUGAUGGAAAGGUUCUGGAAUUAGUGCUAAUGGUCACACUCAUUACAACAUGCUAAAACCAAUGAGUUGUACACUUAAAACAGUAACAUUUAUGUUACAUGAAUAUUAAAAAACACUAAUAAGAAAAAAAACACCUUACAUCAGACCACGAUCUUCCACUAGUUAAAACUCUGCAAUGGGUUCCUAUAGUACCUAGAGAAAAUCCAAUCUUCUUCCCCAGGCCAACAAGGCCUAUAGGACGUGACUCCUACCUGCCUCUCCCGUCUCACCCCACAUGACUCCCUUCACUUCCCAUCCUCCACUUACAUUACAUUCCAGGCUCAAUGGCCCUCCCACUUCCAACUCAGGUCUUUACACUCAAUCCUCCUCCCGCUUGGAGUAUUCUUUGCCAAGGGCUUCUCAUGGCUGCCUUUCUUAUUACAAAGCUCUCAGAUCAAUGUCGCCCCUUCAGAAAAGUCUCCCUCACCAUCCCCACCACUGUCUAUCACAUUACCUGUAUUAUUUUCUUCAUGGCAGUUAUCACUAUCUGAAAUUGUUUGUUUAUACAUACAUUCUCUGAGAGCAGAAAUUUUGUAUGUCUCCACUGCUAUCACCCAAGGGCUAAGAAUCAUGCCUGGCACAGAGUAGAUGCUCAAAAAAUACAUUCUGAAUGAAUGAAUAGGACCUAAUUUAUGUACGUUGGAAAUUUAGACAUUUUGAAGGUCUCUGGGGUGCUGACAGAGCUGUACCUGAUUUGAAUGAGAACCUCAGGAACCCCACUCCUUGACACAUUGAGGCCACGUGCAUAGCAUCUACGGAGUGAGGUCACUUGGCAAUAACACCUUAAGUUCAACAGCGUGAAGAGUAAGAAAUAUAACACGUGGAUGUUCCAGAUAACGGAAGCUUACCGUGCAAAUUCUUGGGCCCCCUCCAGACCUACUGAAUCAGAAUCUCUGAGGGUGGGGCCCAGCAAUCCGUGUUCUAAUAGCACUCUAGGUGGUUCUGAUGCCUGGUAAUGUUAGAGAACCAUCACUUCACAGCAUAAAAACUUAAAAAGUAUUCAUUAUAUUAAAUUAUUCCUCUAAUAUGUUACAAACUUCCUUGCCUUCUGGAACAGAACAGACUAAACAUAAAGCGCUCCUUUCUUGUGAGGCCAGAGACACGAUGAUGAACACUCCUUCUUGCCCAGGGCCAGUGUAACGGGUAGCACAUCAGACAAGACACUUGAGCAGCACGCUGCCAGGGCCAUGGGCCAGCCAGUCACCUCAUUCAGGCAGCCGUGUUUCGGGACCCCCCAGCCCUGGUCAUUAUUCAUAACAACACUGGGGGGCUCUUCAGCAUGCGGCUUUAUGAAAACAAUGCAAACUGAAACUGAAUCAGAGUAUAAAAGAAAAUGCAUGCCGUUCACUAACACACCUGCAUCUAAUACUACUACAAACACUGCCUAGAGGCAGUUUGGAGUCAUAUUCCAAUGUCGCUUUAUUCAAGAAGCGGUGGGAAUUCUUAGGGAAUGUUUCUGUUCUCAACUGGAUUUCACUUCUCAGAUCACCUGGGCUUUACUGAUCCUCUGCACGGAACACUCUGUUCCUGCCACACACCAGUGUGCCCAGAAACCACUGCUUCCUCACAAGUCAUUUAAGAGUCAAAAUCUGUAUCUGCAAUUGCUUGAAGUUCAGAUUUUACAAAGACAUCUCCCCAGAAAUGGCUAUGGGGGUUAGCGUCCCUUGAAUACUUUGUGCUGAGCCCGCCACCAGCACCUUCCUGCUUAUGGUCGGCACCUUUUCCACAUUCACAGCUCCAUGUCAAUCUCUGAGCAGGAUCUCUGUGCUCUGCCCAUACUGAGGCUUUCAGUGAGGUUUACAUCCAGUUCAGUUCCUUUUGGGAAGAAAUAACUUCCAGAUUGAGUCCAAACUGAAUGGGAUUUCCCUGGAUUCAAGGGUAAAUGCAUAUGGAAAUUUGACAGAUACUGUCAAAAUGCCUCUAAGAGGGGUUUAUCAAUGUUCCCCAAAAAUGUGGAGGGUGCCCAUUUCCUCACAACCUCACCAGCAGAGACAGAAAUCUUUUUCCUGUGGGUAUCUCAGUGUCCUGCAGCAUCUUCACAUGGCAGCCACCAUGCGAACUUCAUCAUCUCUUCAGAUGCUGAUCGCUCCUCUCAGAUGCACUUUUCCUUUUCAAUUUAAUUCAAAGAAUUGAAUUGAGAAC